CCACGGGGCCGCCCGCCGGUUGGAACGGCAGCCCCCAGGCGCGCCGGGCGAUGAGGCCGGCGCCAAAGUGAGCGCGGCAUGGAGGGGCCUGCCUAACCGGGACCCGUGGCCCGGCGUCUUCUGGCUGCGACGCGGGUCCUGCGCACGCUGCGGGGCCGCAGCCGCCGGGCGGUGGGCGCCCGAGGGGCCGGGAGGCGAGCCGGGGCCCCCAGGCGGGUGUGGGCACCGUGUCCACAGCCAGCGUCCCCGAGGCCGCGCUCGGGCCGUGAUGACCGGUGAAGCUGCGCUGCGACAGCGCGGCCGACUUCUUCCCUGUGUCCAGUAGUGGUCUGGAGGGUUAUUUGUCAAGGUGUUAGGAACUCUACCACUCUUAAGACAGUAAACUUCACGGGGUGUAAUCUGACGUGGCAGGGAGCAGAUCACAUGGCCAAGAUCUUAAAGUAUCAGACUACCAGAAGGCAUGAAGAAACCUGGGCUGAGAGUCUUCGUUCCAGGAGACCUGAUCUUGACUGUAUGGCUGGUUUGAGGCGCAUCACUCUGAACUGCAACAUGCUCAUUGGUGACCUGGGUGCAAGUGCUUUGGCAGAAUCUCUUAGUGAGGAUUUAUGGCUUAGAGCUCGAGAGAGGCUAUAUUCAUCUGUGUUGAUCACUGCUGUGUUUCCUGAACAUGCCUAUAAAACAUACUGAAGAAGGGUGCCUGAAAUUUGGAAAGAAGAAUAGUAGCUGUGCUGAGCUCUGCCAGACUUUGAACCAACAAUGGCUAAGAAUGAAAGGAACUCAGACCCAAAUAUUUUUUCCCUUGUAAAGCACAGAGAAUAUGCCUGGCUUCAGAAAGACCUGAAUUUGAUGAACUACACACUGUUGGAGUAGUAGAUUGCUAGAAGGAACCAAGAUCCAGACAACCUUAAAUGGCGGCUUCAUGGAAUUAUAUUCAAGAAGGAUGGUCCAGCCAAUUUCCUCACUUCCAUUGUGAAAGGAGUUCCCUAUUCCUAAGAAAAUGGACCUAUGUCCGACUGACACAGAAGAUGGAGAUUUAUCCCAGUGCAUUUAUAUAUGUAUAUAUAUUAAAAUUAUGUAUAUAUAUAUAUAUAUAUAUUUAUAUAUAUAUAAUGCCUAAUGGAAACAUCUCAGAUGGUCUAUUUUGUGUUUUUUCUUUAAUUUUACUUAUAAAAUUGUGAACAUUUUUUAACUCAAAAGAGGAGAACCUUAAAAAUUAAUUAAAAAGACAUUCUCACUAGUCUAAGGUUCAGAGUGACUUGGCAGAGAAAAUUGCUGAAUGGUUAGAUAACAGUGCUGGUAUGCUUGGCUACUGUAACAUUUUCCAUUUGAGUUUCUCUUCUUUGAAAUUACAAGAACUAUAUGACUCAAGAGAAAGAUUGAUAAUUAGGAAUAUUCUGCUUGCUUUUUAUAUAGCUUAUUGAAGAACAUUUUAAUUAAUUAUUUGGAGGUCAUAGGAAGGAACCUUCAUGAUCUAACUUUUGAACAAGUAGUGUUGCAACACAAAGCUAUGACUUCAAAUUAAAAAGGAAAUUUGAAAUGACCUAUUUCUUUUGGCAUCUCAAUCCAGAUAUCUGUCAGUAAAAUGAGUCACUUUUCAGUCAAAUGGCUGGUCAGCAAUAUAAUUUUUUAUUGGGAAGCUGAAAGACACCAUUGCCAAACAGAGCAUCUGCAGUGUUAACAUCUAUAUUUGAGCAUCUUUCGUUUUCCCAAGGGGUGCAGAUGAGAAGAAGGAAGGCAGAGAAAUGCACUUGAAUAAAGCUUUUCAAGAUGGAUAGAACAGAGAGCAUUCCCAGAGGCAGGUCAAGUUCAACCCAAGAACAACUCUCUCAGUGCUUUCACAACUAGUUAAAAUACAAGACCAGUAGUAACUCAGCUCUCAAAUCAGUGCUGAAAUCAAGCAGAAGGUUGUUAAUAUUGAUAUGGUUAACAUACAUCAAAUAGGAUUACUGAAUUUUCUGAAUCCAAAAGUUCUCCACAGUGUUGACAUUUCCUUACUGAACUCCCAGGACUGUUUGGUUUCAAAGGCUGUUGGGCUCAAGACGCAUUUUGUUUUAAAUAAUCCUUCAUAAAAAGUUCAGCUUUCAGUCUAAUAUGAUUGAAACCCAGCUUGAGUGUGUUUUAUAAUGCACUGAACUGGAAAGACUAUGGGCAUUGAAUUAUUCAAAACAUGGUAGGCGAAGGAGUGAUAUGUGGGGAGGAGGUGAUCAGAGAGAUCAGCGAGACUUGCUAUGUCUUGUUAUCUCAUUUUAUUUACCUUUUAGAACUCUUCCAAAUAUUAGAGGAAAGAAAUCAAUAUCAAUUUUCACCUGUCACGUUCCACCCUUCAAUUAUUAAUGAAUGUCAAAUUUGACCACAGUUUUCUGUACCACCUGCUCUGCAAUAAUAUUUCUGAGCCUUUAUUAAAAAUGUAAAAUUGUCAUUGAAUUUCCAAAUAUGAUUCUCCAGUGGCUAAUUCAGCUUGUUUUAUUAAUAAGCAAGUUCCGAUGAGUAAUACUAAUUUAAUACGCCUGCAUGUAAGGUUAAAGUGUAAAUUAUUCCUGCCGAAGGUGAUGAGAUAUGACUGCGAUGUGGUGGUAGGGCACUCACCUUCCUGAACGAACCCUGCAAGCACACAGUUCUUGGGAGAAACCAGUACUUCAUAUAGUAGCAAAUCUGAUAUUAUUUUGCAUGUCUCCUGUAGCAGUGGAAUGCACACACACACACACACACACACACACACAAACAUGAUCAUGGGUGAAAAAACACAUGCGCACCUUAGAUGCUUACAUUAAUUUCUGAAUAUAGUUCUCCGGAAAGAAAAAGCUUUACUGAUGAUUUGUAUUUUUAUAGUUUAUUAUUUUAUCCAUACUAAAACACUUCAUGAAAUCACUUACUGUUUUGUUGUCCAUGGAAUCCUUUCAAUUUUGAGAUGCUAAAUAGAAAUCGAAAUAAUGAUUAUAGUCCUUGGCCAUGAAAGACUAAGUUACAGAGAACCUGGUGACUGGAGGUCAGAGCUGCCACGGAAUUAUUCUCUGCUCCAGAGACCAUUAGAAUAUCACUGUGUACCCACUUAAGGAUAGAAUGCUGCUACUGAGAAACUAGCUCUCUUUUAUUUCUACUAAAAGGAGAGAACAGUAGGGGACCUUGGCUGUGUGAGUGUAUGAGACUUUCUCUGUUUUGUACAAUAAGCCAAAAACUAUACAUGAAAUAGCUUCGGGCCUUUUGUCUUUUGUACCCAGCUCUUUCCUGUAUUGCUCCUGAUCAAUUACACUUAAAUCAACAAGAGUUGCUUGAACAUUUUGACAGUUAUGUGCCCCAUACCCUGAAGCAUUUUUAAAGGGUUACUGAGAUAAAGCUAAUUCAAAAAAUACUCCCUCCAAAUUUUUUCAGGGUGGCAUCAAUGAAAGUAACUUAGAGGAAAGAAACUAGACCUUGAGUUCCUGGCCUACCACUCUAAGGCCAGGCAAGCAUAAACCUUCAUAGUAAAACCUAAGUUUGCUCCCAGUUGAGAAUUUGGUUUCCAUGGUCUUAUAUAAAAAUAUAUGGAGACUUAAAUUUCCUAUAAGCCCUUUCCAAAGAGUAAAUACAGUUGAUCAUUCGUAAGAGAUGAUGAAAAUUACAAUUUUGUUGAAUAGGUGGAAUAUAUAUUAUAUAUAAUAUAUAUAUUUAUUUUUAAUAUAUAUAUAAAAUACAUAAAGUUACUAUUCAGAGUCCUAAAACAUGGAUUUUUCUUACUUACUAAGAAUGAACAGUAACUUGAUCUCUAAACACAAUAAAUCACCUGGUCAUAGCAGAAUCAUAACAAAUAUUUGAUAUCAGAAUGAAUUCACUGUUUAGGUGUAAAGAGGGAAUACCUUCAGUUUUCCUCUUUCUUGUACCCCAUUAUUGUAUCCUGGACAGAGGGGAUUUUCUUGAUUUUAAUCUAAAGGAGAAAUGUUCACUUUUGUUAAGAUGGAAAUUGACAACCUCAGUAGGCAGAGGCACUGUUUUUAUUUGGCUGAAUUCAUGUUUCUAGUGAUAAUUCAAGGUGUAAUAGGGUUUUCUCUGCCACUCCAAAAUCUGAAAAUGAUAAGCAUCUCACCAGAGUUUCAGGACGACCCAUUACCUAUUCUGUGGAAAGGAUAUUCAAAAUACCAUGCUUCAUCAGUGUCUUCUUUGACUUAUUCAUCAAUGGACAACUACUGAGUUAAGACAGUGUCUUAUCCUUGCUUCAAAAAAACAAAAACAAAAAAACCCCACAAACACAAAAAAACUGUUAACGAUGAAAACUUAUUAUGCCAGGCCUUAGUAUGGCCUGACUUGGAAAUUUAGUUUCAGAGGCUUUUGUGAAUGUACCAAGGAAAGAGGACCUAGGUGUAUCUUAUUCCCACAGGCCGCCAAUAAAUAUUUGCUUAACGGAGAAAAAAUUAAUAUAUAGUAUAGGAGAGAACCUGACAGAUGCUUAACAUUAUUGAGUGAUAGCAAUGCCCAAACUCAUCUGUGAUCAAACACUAUGAAAGUAUCCUCCUAAGGAUAAACUUAUUACAAAUAAGAAGUGAAAAUUCAAUUAUGGAGAUAUUUUCAGUUUCAGUUCUGAUAUGCAAAAAGCUUGGAAGUUGUCACUGUAUCUUGUCCUUACAAGAUAAUGCUGUACAAAAUGAAAAUCAAUGACUUUUCUCAGACGUGGUUAAUAAAACAUGUAACUGUGAAAGAAUUUUAAAACUGUAA